GUUAGGAAUAUUGGACAAUGGGCGCAAGCCUGAUCCAGCCAUGCCGCGUGAGUGAUGAAGGCCUUCGGGUUGUAAAGCUCUUUAGCCGAUGAUUAUAAUGACUGUAGUCGGAAAAUAAGCCCCGGCUAACUUCGUGCCAGCAGCCGCGGUAAUACGAAGGGGGCGAGCGUUAUUCGGAAUCACUGGGCGUAAAGCGUGCGUAGGCGGUUUUGUAAGUUAGGAGUGAAAGCCCAGGGCUCAACCCUGGAAUUGCUCUUAAAACUACAAGGCUAGAAUGUCGGAGAGGAUAGCGGAAUUUCCAGUGUAGCAGUGAAAUGCGUAGAUAUUGGAAGGAACACCAGUGGCGUAAGCGGCUAUCUGGACGACUAUUGACGCUGAGGCACGAAAGCGUGGGGAUCAAACAGGAUUAGAUACCCCAGUAGUCC
rnacentral:rRNA from 1 species